rnacentral:miRNA from 1 species
UUCAUCAUAGUCAUCAUUGACC